rnacentral:rRNA from 1 species
AGUGAACGCUGGCGGCGUGCCUAAUACAUGCAAGUCGAACGGAGUGGCGCACGGGUGAGUAAUAUAUAGCUAAUCUGCCCCUUGCUGGAGGACAACCGUCAGAAAUGACUGCUAAUACUCCAUAGCAAGGGAUGAGACUAUAUCGUAUCAGCUAGUCGGUGGGGUAACGGCCUACCGGGGCUCUGACGCGUAACUGGUCUGAGAGGAUGAUCAGUCACUUUGGAACGGAGAAACGGUGCAAAUUCGUGCGGAAGGAAGCAGUAGGGAAUAUGGGGCAAGGGGGGAAACCCUGACGCAGCAAGGCGGCGGGGGGGAUGAAACUUUUCGAAGCGAAAACUCCUUUUGUUAGGGAAGCGGAACCUACGAAUAAGCACCGGCUAACUCCGUGCCAGCAGCCGCGGUAAUUC